AUACGGAGGGGGUUAGCGUUGUUCGGAAUUACUGGGCGUAAAGCGCACGUAGGCGGAUUGGAAAGUUGGGGGUGAAAUCCCAGGGCUUAACCCUGGAACUGCCUCCAAAACUAACAGUCUAGAGUUCGAGAGAGGUGAGUGGAAUUCCAAGUGUAGAGGUGAAAUUCGUAGAUAUUUGGAGGAACACCAGUGGCGAAGGCGGCUCACUGGCUCGAUACUGACGCUGAGGUGCGAAAGCGUGGGGAGCAAACAGGAUUAGAAACCCUAGUAGUCC
rnacentral:rRNA from 1 species